rnacentral:lncRNA from 1 species
CCCGUCAUUGUGACCCCCUCACUGGGACCUCUCAUUGUGACGCCUCAAUGUGACCUCUCAGUGGGACCCCAUCACUGUGACCCCUCCCUGGGACCCUCAUGCACAGCCUGGUAUCGGGGGACUGAGUCUCCACAGUGGAGUCAGAAGUCCCUCUCCAGGAGCGCCAAUCUACACCCCACCCAACACGGCCUUGACGUCCGAGAACCCCUUGUUCUUGCUGCAGCACUGCACCCACAGUUCCCAAACCUCACGACACCCGCAACUCGCUGGGGUGAAUUCUGGAAACAGGGCGAGUUGGGCACAGUGUCCAAUUCCACUGCUCCAAAACACCCCUAAGACAAUGGCCAGGGCUCCUUUAAGGGUUUAGUCCAUGAGGAGAAGAGACUAGGAAGAAGACAGUGGACACAGGAGGAGGAGAAACUUCUGGAAGAUGGAAGCUGAUCAACUCUCCAUCCAGACAGCUUUGCCAAUUUAAAACGGGACAAAUGGGAAGGAAGAAAGCCUUCGUGAGCAGAGAGGGAGAGCUGGAAGACGCAGAAGGCCACCAGGAGCCUGGGAACCACGGGGAAUACAUUCAGUUGGUUUGAAUUAUCGUUUGCUUUGACUCAGGGAGAGAAGUUGGAAGUGUCAUGGGUGUGGGCCUGCGUGUCCCGCCCCCUGCCAGCACCCCUGCUGUGGAGGCCUUCUCAGGAGCACAGAGCCCUGCUCGUCAGUAUUGAUCAGUUCUGCAGUCUCUGGUCAGCUCAGAAUACCAGGAGCCUGUUUGUCCCUGAGGCAGCCUCCAAAGAUGGGCUGCCACACUGGGAGCAACCUGGGGACUCCCCAGGAGGAGGCCACAAAACGUCUGGAGUCAUGGGAGCUUCCUGGGCACAAUUACCCCUGCCUGCCUUCCAGGAACUCUUAAAACUACGUAAGCUUCAUAUGCCUGCAGGACUGCUGACCCUUCUGGCUUUCCAAUCAUUCUACUUUCAUUUGUAUCAGCUGGAAAGUGGGUCCCAUUAAACAAAAACCAGAGCAGCUCCGGCUCGGCCCUCACCCAAGCACCAGACUCAGCAGAGGUGCCAGAGGUUGCUAGUGCCAGCCAACCUCAUAGACACUGACAAGGGAGAGUGGAGCAACAACGGCGGUAGACACACACGUCCCCCUCUGGACUGCCCACACUGCCCUGAUGCUUUAUGUAAAUCGCUACCUUCAACCCAUCCAAACCCCCCACGGCCUGCCCGCCGUUUUCAUCUCCCUCGUCCACUGUAUCCGGGUAAAACAGCGUCUUCUCUGAGGACAGGGCUGGGUCUCCUCCUGUCGGCUGAAAUUCCCUUGCCAAAUAUAGCAAAUGGGAUCUACAAAAAAAAAACGGUGAGAGAUUCAAGCAGCUCUGGCAAAUUAGACCAAGUAAAUUGUGCUGUCCCAUCCUGAAAGCGUGCUGGGCUUUCCCGUGACGCUGCACUGCAGGCAGAGCCCCCAGCGGCAGCGGACCGAGGGCUCUCCCUCCCUCGCCCUGCCUCCUCACUAAUCCUAUUCCACAACAACGUUUCCUCGACAGUGAAAAAAUCCACCCAGUGGUGUCCAGAUGCUCGAAAGAUCCUGUGAACAGUGUCUGGGUAGUUGAAAAAUAUUUCAAUCUUCACUUGGAUGUUGAGUUUCAUAAUUUCAACUGAAAACAGCCCCAAUUCAGGCUCCCCUGCAGCCAGCCAGCCAAAACCUGCCUCGGAAAUCCUCCUUUUCCAAUCUUUGUCUCAUCAGCCCUGCGAAAAUAAACUUGGCUGGUUGGGACACAUAACAAACCCUGCCAUAGCCAGGUGCCUGUCUGUGUCCCAGGGCCUUCCCAGCCGCUUGCCUCCAUCUAGAUUGCGAAGUGAGGUGUGAACGCACCUCCUGACCCCCACCCUCUCAGCAAUUAUUCCACUGCUUAAUGGAAAUGACAAGCCAGAAGCUUAUACGGAAUUAAUAAUGCAUUAAUAACUGCUAUGAUCUGGGAAACCAAACAGGCGGUGUUUUAAUAACAGAAUCAAUAGUUACUUGAAGCGAUGCUGGUUUAUUUUCCACGUACGGAGAUGGAGCGUGAGCUGCUGCAUUUUUAUCUUAGCUGGAAGUGUCAUCUUUCCCCUCACAGACGGGUUGCGUCACUGUCCUGGGUGAAUUUCCCUCAGCUUUUGUUUGUUGGUUUGUCUCAUUGUUUUCAUGAAAAGAAACUAUACGGCAUGAAACAUAUUAUUUAAAAACAUCACCUUCCUACAAGCCACGUCUCUGUCAGAUGUUCCAAAAUAGAACUCAUUUGCGUUCUUCUAACGCUCGGUACCGUCAGCCCAUCACACAGUCGGUCCCUGAGCGGCGGAAAUCCCCCGUGACUCCGCGGCUGUGCGCGUCGCCGUUUACCGUGCGGGAGGCCCAGGCUGCGUCUGCACAGACAGAAAGGAGGAAACCAGCCAAAGGACUCAGGCCGGGAAGAGACAGUCACCCUGCCCUGUUUUGCCUCAAUUAUCUGGGAUUUUGCUUGUUUCAUCCAAUGAAUUACCUCCAUUUUCACAUCACCCUCUAUAGGUAGACCCGGGCGAAACCUGAUCUUCUGGGCUUUUUUAUUUUGCUUUCUUUUAAAUUCUAAGACAACUGCUAUUGCCUAUGAUUGUUGUCUCUACGUGACCCUAACAGAAUAGGUGACCCACACCUCUUUAUUAAAACAGUUCCCGAGAUUCUGAAAACAAAACAUCCAUAGCAUUCCCUCAAAAAAAGAAAGGAUCAGACUUCAGACAAACAGAACAUUCUGGAAGCAGUUUUAGUAGAUUAUUCCAUCAAUCCAUUACUUCAGCGUCCUGUGUCUCUGACAUUCUUUGGGCUGACCCGGCCACCACUCAAUAAACACUCUGACGUGGGGUGGCAAAUGUAAUUUUCACCUAAACAGCUUUGUCCUCAUUCUGGAAGAAAGACUUUGCCUCUUUGAAAUAAAGUUCGUUUUCUCUCCUUUCUUUCUUUUAAUAAUUGAGAGUCUCUCCGUGGUGGUGAGAGAUUACCUGCUGGCUGAGGCAGGUAAUAACAGGUAUUUUCAAUCGUUGACUUUCCAGAAACUCGGUUUAUUGUUUUUAGUGCUGUCUGAGUCCCAGAGCCAGCACAUUCUGCUCCGUUGUGUCGUGAAGGUGAAGCGGCCGUGUCUGUGAACCCACGGCACCCUGCCUGGUCUGUGUGUG